AAUGAACGUGGGCGGCGUGGAUUAGGCAUGCAAGUCGCGCGAGAAACCUCCUUCGGGAGGCGGACAGCGGCGAAAGGGAGAGUAACGCGUAGAUACCUACCCUGGGGACUGGGAUAGCGGUGGGAAACUGCCGGUAAUACCGGAUAACGUCUCCGGACCAAAUGGUGUGAUUCCGCCCUUGGAUGGGUCUGCGUCCUAUUAGCUAGUUGGAGGGGUAAAAGCCCACCAAGGCAAAGAUGGGUACCGGGUGUGAGAGCAUGGCCCGGCUCACUGGGACUGAGACACUGCCCAGACACCUACGGGUGGCUGCAGUCGAGAAUCUUCCGCAAUGGACGCAAGUCUGACGGAGCGACGCCGCGUGCGGGAUGAAGGCCUUCGGGUUGUAAACCGCUGUCAGUGGGGAGCAAAUCCAUAAGGGUUCUCUCUUAUGGUUGAGCUAUCCGCAGAGGAAGCGCAGGCUAAGUUCGUGCCAGCAGCCGCGGUAACACGAACUGCGCGAACGUUAUUCGGAAUCACUGGGCUUAAAGAGUUCGUAGGCGGCCUGAUCAGUCGGGUGUGAAAUCCCUCGGCUUAACCGAGGAACUGCGCCCGAUACUGUCAGGCUAGAGGGAGACAGGGGUGAGCGGAACUGAUGGUGGAGCGGUGAAAUGCGUUGAUAUCAUCAGGAACACCGGUGGCGAAGGCGGCUCACUGGGUCUCUUCUAACGCUGAGGAACGAAAGCUAGGGGAGCGAACGGG
rnacentral:rRNA from 1 species